GUAAUGAUCAAUGUAGGGAUCGAUUAGUCUGAUUAGUUCCGGAAAGUCCAGGAAGCACUGGAGAGGGAAAGAAAUGUGUGUAUGCAAUUAGUAUAGAGAGAUAGAGGGGCAGAUGGUCAAGGGAGUAAAAGCUUCAAAGAGUUCCUAACCUUGAGGGAAAAGAACAGGCUGAGCUCUGGAUAGUGAUAAACAGUGUGAGAAGUUUAUGGGGGAUGCAGGUCACCAACAGUUUGUGUGUAAAUGCAUGUGCGUAAGUAAGCAAGAACUAUAUAAUGACUGUUUUGUUAUCCUGACCUCAGAACGUUCUCAUGAAUAAAGCUACGGAAACCUUUUGCAGAAAGCUGAGUCCUUGCCUAAUUAUUUUAACCCAUUGUCUUACAAACCUUGGGCAUUAGUCAAGGCGAAUUGAUUAUUAUCAUCAAGAUAUAAAAUUCCUUUAACAAUUGGUCCUUUCGACCGGGAUCUCAAAAACUGCCGCUGUCGUUCCAAGGAGACACUGAAACCGUGCACGGGCGGAUGAAAUAUCCGUAAAUCAAAGACCUGGCCCUUUUCUGUGGGUUCUUUACAGGCCGGUGGCAAACUGGUACGCGACAGAGGUGGUGACGAGAUUCAACGAACAUUGAAUUCUCAGCUGCAAGAUAAGGUCAGUAAUCUUUAUUCAUUAUUUUGGGGUUAAAUUCUAAACUUACUAAAAAUUCCUAUAAAGCAUUGGUCAAGAUAAAGGUGAGGGAGGAUUUUAAAUAUAGGAAGUAGUCUGGGACUAUUCGGAAACGGACGGGUCCGUAAUGACUCGUAGUAGUUGAGGCCAUUACUAAAAAAAAAACUACCCCGUAUCGAUAUAGUCUGGGACUAUUCAAAAGAUAUGGGAUGUAGUCUGGGACUACUAAAAAUAUAUGGGAAGUAGUCUGGGUCUAUUCAAAAUAUAUGGGAAAUAGUCUGGGACUAUUAGGGGUAUAUGGGAAGUAGUCAGGGACUAUUAAAAAUAUAGAAUAAAAGCACACCCAUAGAUUGUGAGAAUAAGCAUAAUAACAAGGAAAGCAAUUGAAUAAUAUGGGUGGUAAAUCCUCAAAGGAGGUCCCGGAAUUAAGAGAGAUAUAUGAGAGAUAUAUUCAAUCCAAGGAUAAAAGGAACAUUUAUUUUGACCCAAAAUGGAGAAAUAAGUAUGAAUUUGAUGGACGUUUAGAUGUAGAAAAGCUAGAGUUAAUGGUAGAACAUAGACAUGUAGAUAGUGAAGAGGACAGGGCAGUCAAAGCCCUGAGAAGGCUGCUGGAAGAACAGGGUAAGGAGAGAGAGGAGCUACUGAAGUUGAGAGAGGAUGGAGAGAGUGGCCAGUACCCUAUGAUAGCAUUGCUAAACCCACGGGCUGGGGAUGAUGGGGCACAGGCCACUCUGGAUGUAUACAGGGCAUGGACACAGAGAGAUGUGGUUCGAGCCGUAGAGGGUGUAGUGCAUCCUAAGACAGGUAUAGAAGGGUUCAGAAGAGAUCUGGAAGGUCUAGCAGCCAGCUUUAAGCUAGACACAGGGGAAAUUGAGAGAGCAGUAAGACAGCUGGUGGGGAAGGACUGGGCAGCGGUCCGGGGACAGUGGGUACCUGGACAUAAUGAUUUGGUGGUAUUGCCCUGGGCGAUAGAUGGACAGUAUGUCGAGAAAAUCACACAGCUGUGUAAUAAUCUGAGGGACCACUAUCACCGACUUGCAGAUUUCUAUAAGGUCCACGAAUGUAAACAAGAAGACAAUGAGACUAUAAGUCAAUACCUAGAGAGAUUAAAGGAGGUAUUCAAUGCCAACAGUGGGUUAAUAGAGCCACCGGUAGCCCAGGGGAACGAUACAGCAUAUCACCAGCAACUGAAAAUAGCUUUCCUCAGUGGAAUGCGCCCAGAGAUAAGUCGUGCCAUAAAAAGGACUCUAGUAGGAUGGGGAAUAGCAACUCUGACAGAGGUGAAGAGAUAUGCCGUUCACUAUGAGCAGCAUGGUAAAAACAACAGAAUUAAAAAAGAACAGAAAAAAGCAGAGUACCUGAUAGCAACCCUAGGGGAAAUAGCGGGGAGGAGAAGAGACUCUGUAGACAGAAGGGGAAAAACAGGGAGACGCGCUGACAAAGACGGAGAGAUGUGUUUUAAUUGCGAUAGAACAGGACAUUUCGCCAGAGACUGUAAAACACCCUGUGCACAUUGUGACCGAGUAGGACACAACUACCGAAAUUGUAAACAUGAACAAUAGCAUUGUGGUUCAGUGGUAGAAUUCUUGCCUGCCAUGCGGGGGACCCGUGUUUGGAUCCCAGCCCAUGGGACUAAAAUUAAAUGUAAUUCUUGUUAUGUUUUGGCUGGAACGAUACGGUUGUUAGUGUUUGUUUAAGAUAGAAACCGAAUGUUUUGAUAGCUUGUUUAGUUUAAAUAGGAAGACAGAUUCUUUCAAAAUAAUAGCGAGGCGAAUUCGAUGAAGUACGUUGUUUGUGGUCUAAAUGGCCUGCUUAAAGGAUUUAUAGAGAAUGGGAGUUGUAUUUGAAUGACGGAAUCAAGGAAAAGGCAGUUACUUAAAUCUAAUGAAUUAUAAGGAGCGGAAAUUAAUAAUUGCGACAGAAUUGUGGCGAUAUACAUUAUAUAUUUUUUAAACCCUUGGACAUUUCAUAAGACUAUAAACCAAUACCUAGAGAGAUUAAAGGACGUGUCCAACGCUAAUAGUGGGUUAAUAGAACCCCCGGUAGUGGAUGGAUUUGAUGCCCCGUAUUAUCAGCAAUUAAAAAUUGCUUUCCUCAGUGGAAUGCGUCCCGAGAUAAAUCGUGCCACCAAACAGAACCUCGGGAUCUGAGGGAAGUAAGAGAGGCCAGAGAGGGGGUCGAGACAAAUACAGAGAGGUCAGGCACCCACAGAAAGGCAUGUUCAAUCACAUAAACCAUUGAGGAAGUUUAAAACUAAUGAUGGGGGGGAGUACAAUGGAAUUAUAAGUAUUAUUAGGUUUUGUUUAUAGUCAACUUUGGGGUUUCUGAAUCAGGGUGGUAGGAUGAAACGCUGACCAAGUGGUUAUUUUAUGGAAAAAGAAGCGCUUAGCUCUCUUUGGAAAAAAUAAAUAAAUAAAAAAUUCCUAGGGACAUGAUAUCUUAAAGGGGUAUACACACGGCAUUUUGGAAAUGUUGUUUUCUGAAGUUUUAAUAAACACAUGAAAUUCUUUUGAUAGGGAAUGUUCUGGGAACCUGGGAUACAAAAUGUAGAUGAAGUUCUAAGCCUUAAUUUGUUUAAUGUAGUAAGAAACACGGUUCUGAAAGGGUGGUAUGACUUUUUGACCCCUCUAGUGGCUUCCCUGUGUGGUCUGAUCAGCCACAUUGAAAAGCCAUUUGGAUGGUGAAUUUAAGGUCAUUGGUGAUAUUGAUUUUAAGGGAAUUUGUAGAACUGAUAAUUAUGAUGGAGUUAAAGCUCUUAGACACAAUUGAUAAUUUGAACCAAUGAUAGGACUAAAAGGGCAAAGCCUUAGACUAAGGGUAGGCUUCCUUAAGUCUAUUUUCCUAGAACAUUAAGGGUAAAAUAAUUUUUCUUGGUGGAGUAAAUCAGAUUAGUCAUUUUGAUCUGAUUAUGUUAUUUGAAAAUAUUUUGACCAGUAGCAGGGGUAUUUUUUACAUUAUCUAGAUAAGUUUAUUUUUCCUUAGGAAGUCAGCUGUUGUUGAAUUCAGUGUAAGAGAUUUAACACAACAAGGCUGUGGAAUUGAUAUACUAGUAUUACUAUAUUUUGUGGUGAAUAGGUUUAAUAAUGGUAGACAUGUCAACAGGACAGGGAUAUAUGACAUCUGUAGGCGAUCCAGGAUUAUUGAGGGUAUUGAGAUAAAUUUAAGUAGAUAUGCAAUAUCUAGACAUGUUGAUUUUUCUAAAGUUCAGGAGUGCAACCAAGGAGACAAUGAGACAUUUAGUCAAUAUUUGGAAACAACCCAUAUUUGAUACUUUCUGUUAGAACAAAAAAAAAAGCUGGAGACAGAUAGAAGGGCAGACAGAGAGAUCCUCCCCUGCACUGCUGAAACCUUGAGGGUUGGGGAGUAGCAGGAAGAAAGGAGGGGGCCAGCAGGAGUAGAUAGGAAGAGAAUUUGGUUCACUUAGCUUUAGGAUAUUAAUUCAUGGAGAGACUAUCGGCUCCAUAGGCAUGUAUUUUAGUUUUGAUUUUAAUUUUAUGUUUGGUAAAUUCGCUAGGAGGAGAUAUGAUAAUUUUGUUGAAAGUAAUUGUUACCUUAACUAAAAGGGCGUAGUUGGUUUCAGGUGUUAGACACUGAACCAUUGCCCAGACACUAUUCUGCACAGUAGGCCGAAAUAGUAGCAUUGACUAGAACCGGUGAAAUAAGAAAGGAGAGAAAAGUUACUAUUUACACAGACAAGCACAUAGACAUUUAAAACCAUACAAAGCAGCAUAGAUACAUCUUAAAGAAGAUAAAACACUUGACAGAGAAUUGUUACAGAAUAGCCGAGGAUGAAUGCCCCAGGGAGAAUUGGACAUGUGGAAAAUGAAAGGGGGCAUUCUAUAAGAGAAGGUCUGACAGAAGGAUAAUUUACUUAUCCUACCAAAGACAUUGUAUGGAUACGCAGCAAUAUUGAUACAUAGGCUAAGCAAUGUAUCAAGGGGAGGGAAGUAUAGUAGAGUAGUUAGGAAAGAGUGAUGGCCUAGAGGAUAAUUACUUAAAUAAAAAAUAAAAAAAAUUGUAAGAAGAUCCAUUCCAACAUUUGGAAUUGGACUUAUUGAACUAUUCCGAAUUGAGGGGAAGAAGGGGUGUUUAACAAGAAUAGAUAAGUAUAGCAAAUGGGUAGAAGCGUUCCCAACUUACUUGGUGGACAUGAUUAUGGUAGCUAAAAUAUUAGGUAAAGAUAUUAUCCCUAAUGUUGGUUUACUAGGAGCCAUCUCUUUAAAUGAUGGAUGACAGUUUAGCUAAUCAGGUAGAGCCUAUAGAAUGCCAGAGUUAGAGAUACCAGAACAGGUAGACAUAGAAGUUGAAGAAAUACUAGCAGAGCACAUGAGAAGACUGUUUGUUAACCAAACCCGUAUGUCCAAGAUUUUGUGUCCAACAGGUGAAUUAUAGGAGAAGGUGAUUCACUCAAUCCAACCAGGAGACUGGGUGUGGAUCCAGUCCCUGAGGAGAAAAGACAGGAAGCAGCCCCGUUGGGAAGGCCCAUACCAGGUUCUGUUAAACCACUGCCUUUGUCAUUAGAAAAGCUGAAAGAGUCACUUGGGUCCACGUUACCCACUGCAAGGAGGUAUGUACACAUAUCCACUGCUGAUCACACACAGAGUUAGGAGAAGAACCGAUACCAACAGGGUCCGGGGGUUACCUCCUUAACCUGUUAGGGCUAGGGGGCAGUAUUGACACGGCUGGAUAAAAAAACAUACCCGAUUUAAUCUGGUUACCACUCCUACCCAGUAACUAGAAUAUGCAUAUACUUAGUACAUAUGGAUAGAAAACACCCUACAUUUUCUAAAACUGUUUGAAUGGUGUCUGUGAGUAUAACAGAACUCAUUUGGCAGGCAAAACCCUGAGACAUUUUCUGACAGGAAGUGGAUACCUGAUGUGUUGUAUUACCUUUAAACCUAUCCCAUUGAAAAACACAGGGGCUGAGGAAUAUUUUGGCACUUCCUAUUGCUUCCACUAGAUGUCACCAGCCUUUACAAAGUGUUUUGAGUCUUCUGGAGGGAGAUCUGACCGAACAAGAGCCAUGGAACGAUGAUGGCCCAUUAGACACCUGGCGCGCGAGUUCAUGUUGUUUACCCUCGUUCCAAUACGUUAUAAAAGAGUAUGCAUUCGUCCACCUUGAAUAUUAUUCAUGUUCUGGUUAAAAAAGGCCCUAAUGAUUUAUGCUAUACAACGUUUGACAUGUUUGAACGAACGUAAAUAUAUUUUUUCCCCUCGUUCAUGACGAGAAGUCCGGCUGGCUUAGAUCAUGUGCUAACAAGACAGAGAUUUUUGGACACCUAGCCCAUAGAGGUUAACGAAGAUUUCCUAUCCCAACCGUUCAUCACUGUGUGUGCUCCUAGAGGUGUGAGUAUGGGGUGGUACCAAGCAGAGAGACUAAGGGCAGGAGAGGGUUGGCGGUUUUUGGGAAGAGUAGAGACUCUGAGCUGCAUCAUAGUUUGGUAACCUUUCUGAUACAUUCAGAUCCACCACCUUCCGGUACUAAUCAUAGGAUACCGUUGUCAUUGAGAAGAAGUAGAAGAUAAACUAUAUAAUACACUGAUGAGUGACUUACAGAAUAAGGAGUCAAAGAAGAAAAAGAUGUCGAAUUUUAGGUAAACAUUAAACAAGUUCCUGGGGAAGCAGACAACUGUACAGGAAUUGGGGUUGGCCAGAUUGAAGUAUUCAGCCAACCCACCUCGGUUCACCUAAAUUCCUGAUGAGCACCAGUGUUAUAGAUACAAGAAUGGCACCGAGAACUAAGAUGAUUUUAAUGACUGAAAGGUAAUUGGUAAUGUGACUGACUUAGGUUUGAGAGAUGAAUAGAACAUUCUUAACCUCACAGCACCUAUAACUGAUGAAGGGUGGGCUAGUACCAGUAAAGGACGCAUAUGACAGAAAUUACCACAAAGGGUGGUUAGAAACUUGCGCCCUGGGGUUAUUGGUCCAACCAGUUCGAAUUAGUCAUCAGAGGCCAGUUAUAGGAGGCUAAAGUAGGCACAGGAGGAGUUUUGACCAGGAUGGGAGUAGCUUUGUCUAGAUGGAUGCUAUUGGCAUCUUCAGGGAAGUUCCAGAUGAAUACAAAGCUAUGAAUCAAAUAUGUGAAGGCUUUAACACUACAUUAUUUUGGUGGUUGACAAUAAAUAGAAAUGUGGAUUGGAUUAAUGACAUUUUUUUAUAAUCAACAGAGAUUCAUGAAUGAAAACGGGGAUGCAGUAAAGAGGUUCUCUGACCAAUUAUCCGCCACCUCCCUCAUGACCUGGUAAAAUAGACUGACUCUCGAUAUGUUACUGGCAGAAGAGGGCAGUGUAGGUAGAAUGAUUAGGUUCAUUGCUGCACGUACAUUCCUGAUAACACAUCCCAUGUUUGGGAAAUGGAAAAGUGUUGUAAGAACUGUAUUAUGGGCUGCUUUCACCUGUAUGAGUGUGUUUGUGUUGUGUGGAUGUUGUCUCGUCCCAUGUGUGAGAGGUUUAAUCACCAGGACUCUAGAGAGAUCGAUGACGCAGCAGAUGGUGAGAUAUGGACCAAUUCCGAGCUCCGAUCAGUGGGAUGGCGAAUGCGGGCCUCCAGGCCAGGAAGAUGGCUCCGUUUCUUUCAAUAACGAGGAGCCAAUGUUUGAUGAAACAAUUUUCAACGUUUAGAUAGAAUUUUCAAUGUUUUGAUAGACUGUUCCUUUAAUGAAAAUUAUGUUGAAAAUCCUGAACAGAAGUGUCAUAAUUGGAAAUAGGCCUAGGACAGUAAUGGAAGAAUAGGAGGAAUAUUCAUGUAUUGGACUUGUUUAAAUCCCGGUAUCACAAUGAAUUUCCAUAUAGCCUGUGAUUGUUAGUGAAUACUCAUAGUAUGUGAUAAUCAUUAUGUGAUCCCAUAUAGCGUGUGAUGUAUUUCCAUAUAGCGUGUGAUGUAUUUCCAUAUAGCGUGUGAUGUAUUUCCAUAUAGCGUGUGAUGUAUUUCCAUAUAGCGUGUGAUGUAUUUCCAUAUAGCGUGUGAUUAGUAGGGUUCUCAGAUAGCAUCUGAUCAUAUCAUGGUGAAUUAUUGAAUCAUUUAAGGGUGGAAUUGAUAAGAGAAUUAUCUAAUAAAUGUAAAUGAAUCAAUAAACCAUGAUGAAUUAUUAGUCAUACAGCAGGUUUAAUGAAUAAUCAAUGUAAUGAUCAAUGUAGGGAUCGAUUAGUCUGAUUAGUUCCUAAUUAUUUUAACCCAUUGUCUUACAAACCUUGGGCAUUAGUCAAGGCGAAUUGAUUAUUGAUUAUUAUCAUCAAGAUAUAAAAUUCCUUUAACACUAACCGUGUUCUUUUUCCAGAGGAAAGGAAUGUGAACAGGUUGUAAGAGCCAGUAGACAGUGAGGGUGUAAUGUGAACAGGUUGGAAGAGCCAGUACACAGUGAGGGUGUAAUGUGAACAGGUUGGAAGAGCCAGUAGACAGUGAGUGUGUAAUGUGAACAGGUUGGAAGAGCCAAUAGACAGUGAGGGUGUAAUGUGAACAGGUUGGAAGAGCCAGUACACAGUGAGGGUGGAAUGUGAACAGGUUGGAAGAGCCAGUACACAGUGAGUGUGUAAUGUAAACAGGUUGGAAGAGCCAGUACACAGUGAGGGUGUAAUGUAAACAGGUUGGAAGAGCCAGUUCACAGUGAGGGUGUAAUGUGAACAGGUUGGAAGAGCCAGUACACAGUGAGGGUGUAAUGUGAACAGGUUGGAAGAGCCAGUACACAGUGAGUGUGAACCCUCCACAUCUGCUAUAACAUCCCUGAGAGAAGAUGCUGCCACCACCUUUCAGCAGAGAACAAAGAAGAUGACCAUGCAUGAAACGUUAACCAGAGAAUUUCAUGAGCAUAAAAUGAAAUAUCUGAAGGAAGAACAUGAAAUGAGAAUUCUACAGGUUGAAUUGGAUAUGAAGUUGGAAGAGAGAAGUAUGAUCCAAACAAUAGACAGUAAUGAGACAAUUGUGAUUACCAGCCAUGGUGAACAAUAUGAUAUGUAAAAAAUAAUUGUUUUGUCAUUUGGAUAUUCAUGAGAGAGAGUAUUUUAAUCACCACAAACUACAUUUUAAACCAACCUUGGUUUAGUCACUCAUUUCAUUUUGCUGCACACUAUUUGAAUUUUGUACAGAACAAACAUUAUCAAAGCAAAAAUAAGCCA
rnacentral:lncRNA from 1 species